CCGCCCGGGGGUCUGUCGUCCUCCAGCUCUAGGUCCCCGGGAGUGUCGACGGCAGGACUCCCGGGGUGGCG
rnacentral:miRNA from 1 species